CAGUCGCCACGGGAACACGUAGGGUGCGAGCGUUAAUCGGAAUUACUGGGCGUAAAGCGUGCGCAGGCGGUUUUGUAAGACAGGCGUGAAAUCCCCGGGUUCAACCUGGGAAUGGCGCUUGUGACUGCAAAGCUAGAGUGCGGCAGAGGGGGAUGGAAUUCCGCGUGUAGCAGUGAAAUGCGUAGAUAUGCGGAGGAACACCGAUGGCGAAGGCAAUCCCCUGGGCCUGCACUGACGCUCAUGCACGAAAGCGUGGGGAGCAAACGGGAUUAGAUACCCCCGUAGUCCCUGUCUCUUAUAC
rnacentral:rRNA from 1 species